ACGCUCGACACCUACGGGCAGCAGUAGGGAAUCUUCCACAAUGGGCGCAAGCCUGAUGGAGCAACACCGCGUGAGUGAAGAAGGGUUUCGGCUCGUAAAGCUCUGUUGUUGGAGAAGAACGUGCGUGAGAGUAACUGUUCACGCAGUGACGGUAUCCAACCAGAAAGUCACGGCUAACUACGUGCCAGCAGCCGCGGUAAUCUGAGCGGGCUGGCAAGGC
rnacentral:rRNA from 1 species